CUUUCUUUGCUACCAGUUGACAUUUUGUUCUAAAAUACCACUGGGGAAUUUAGAUUGCCAGUGGAACUAGGUCAACUCAAUGAAAGCUAAUUUAUUGAAUGGCUAAUUGCCAAUUCACCAAAAGUUUCUUUGCUGAAAAUAAAUUUGCUGAAUCAUUAAAUAACUUACUAACCAAUGCACUGAAUACCAUCAACUGUGUUUUGGAUGACUGGCUGCAGACGUUGUGCUAUCAGAGCAAGAAGCACCUGGAGAGGAGACUCAAAAGUAAAGGGAAGACUGUGCAUGAAAGGCAGAGAUACAACUUACAGCACUGCCUCGUGGCCUCUGUGACUGAAUCAGAUGUUGAAUCACUGCGGAAAUACCCCAGGAAGUUGCACGGUCAUGAGUCACAGUUAUUUAUACCUGUCUUAAAGAUGUUAGUGAUCUCUUGCCCACUGCAUAGAUUCAUGAAAGGACUGGCUCUUAAUAGGUAAGUGAAUUUAUUUUGUAAGUCAUCAGUAGGAAUAUAAUGAAGUGAAAUCCCACAAACAAAAAACAGAGCUACUUGAUCCUGAUUAUAAUCCCAUAGAGCCUUUCAUUAUCAUUGCAUGGGGCCUUUAAAAAAAUGCAGUUUCUGGGGUGCCUGGGUGGCUCAGUCUGUUAAGCGUCCAGCUCUUGCUUUUGGCUCAGGUCAUGAUCUCACGGUUCGAGCCCUGCGUCAGACUGUCUGCUGACAGUAUGGAACCUGCUUGGGAUCUUUUCUCUCCCUCUCUGUCUGUCCUUCUGUGUGUUCUCUCUCUCUCUCUCUCUCUCUCUCUCAAAAAUAAAUUAAUAAACUUAAAAUAAAAAAUACA
rnacentral:lncRNA from 1 species